ensembl:lncRNA
CUGGGUUAUAGCCUAUCCAGGGUUGAGUUUUUGAUUUAUCUCCUUUUAAGGCAUCCCCUUGAGAAGGUCCUGCUCUAAGACACUCUGGCCUUAAUCUCCAAGCCUGCAGAGUGUCAACAUUACAAGGUCGGCAAUCCACAACUCCCGCAAAGUUACUGGUUUCCCAAUUGUUGCUCAACCCUCAUCACGUAGGCCUAGCAACCUUCUGUUACCCAGUCCCUCAUAGCAACAGGCUGCCUAGCAAUUUCUGGAAUGACAACAUAACAUCCCAUAUCACACUUGCAGGCUCUUCCUGUGAGCAUAAAGCUGUAAGUAUUGCACCUUAACUUUCAUCGCUCUCUCAACAUAGACUAUUAGGCUACCUCAUGAGAAUCACCUUAUGCUGCACUUCCCAGAGAGUUCCUUAGGACACCAGAACUGAAGUCAACGGGAAUUUUGGAGGUGUGAAGAGCUACUCAGAAGAAGCAAGGAUUUUCCAGGAACAUCUUUGGAAUCUCUUCCCACCCAUUCAAAUGCUAGUUAACAGAGAGAGAAUGCAAAAUUUAGUUUUUCUCCUGUAUGGUAACUGUUGAGUCACGACCUGAACCACUGAUUGAGCACCUGGGGAAAGGACCUGGUCAGCCCUGAGAGCACAGGUGAAGGCAAAGGCAAAGGAGUGGAGCUUGGCUGCUCUUCUCUUAGACCUCAUUUAACAGCUGACUGCCACUAAGGAAGGAUCUCUUUCUGGAGGUUCCUCCUUUGCGUUUUCUCCUGGGAACCUGGAUCUUUGGAGAUGGUUAUAGGCUUCCUGGUACACAAAAACCAAGGAUAUCCUGGGAAGAGUCCAGCAGAGGGCCACGAAGAUGAUAAAGGGCCUGGAGCAUCUCCCUUUGAGGAAAGGCUGAGCAAACUGGGCUGUUCAGCCUUGUGAUAAGAAGACUGAGAGGUGCCCCUUCCAUAAGAAGAUAUGAGCAAGAGGCUUGCAGGACAAUAACAACUACCAAAAUGGAAAUCUAUAAGCUACAUCAUAGCUGAAUUGUGCAACACGAAUCCAGUCUUGCAUAUUAUGGAGGAGAUAAAUGAGGGAAGUAGGAGGAAAGAAUCUAUCAUUGUCCUACAUGCAUCAUAAUUUUUUCAGCAGAACUAUUUUACUUCAUAAAAUGGUGCUUCUUCAGGUAAAAAAACAAACAAACAAACAUUUGUGGAAAUACACCAGUCUACAACAAGAAAUCUGCCAGGAUCCCCAGGAAGAAAAGAGCGUUUAGAGAGAUGAAUUUCAGAGGAGGAGAAUUAACAUCCCAGGAGUGAUGGUUUAUGUAUUGAAAUGCUUAGUGCUACACUGUGUACCAGCUGCAAGUGGCCUAAUGCCAGCCCUGGAUGUAGAGCAGCUUCAAGUGUGGCAUUUGCACUACUGGCUCAGGCACCUAUGCUUUCCAUGUACUGAACACAGAGAGCUGGGGAUGCUGAAGAGUUGGGAAAGUGCAUAAUUCAAGCCUCCAAAGAUACUGGGUGAAGCAUGUUCCUGAAGGAAUACAUUUCUACAAGACAUUUAUCUAGCUGAACUGUUUUGGAUUUCUUCCCCUAAUGUUAAAAUGCUCAAAAUGCUAUUUUGCCUAACCAAUUGCACCUCCAUGAGGAUUCAAGAAGAGUACAUGUACCUGCCUUGCUUGUGUUAGAUAAAAUCUAACACAAAAUCAAUUCCAGAUGACUAGUCAGAUCUUCACCAAAAUAAAAUUACAUCUACCAUGCCAAAGCUAAGUGAGGAAAGAGUGAGGUAGGUAAAAACCAACCAACCAACCACAAAAAAAAAUGAGAUACAUAAGAUCUCAGUAGUGUAAGGACUAUUCAUUUAAAUCUCUGCUCCAGUUGGUGGGAAGCUACGCUCCUGAGGAAGGUGAGAAGUUAAUGUUCCUGCAUGCUCAUGUAUGUCCCCUUGGGUUCCUUCAGCCCACUCCCCCAAGCUGCUGUUUCUCCCUCACACCUGAUGCAUGGUAAGGAGGAGGUAAUGCACAUAGGAAGGGUUUGGUGAACAGUGGCUAGUGCCUGUGUCACGGGGCAAAUACACUCCUCAGUCCUCCCCUGUCCACUCCAAUUAUUGGAGCAAUUGUUUUCACAUAUAUAAACCUGGAGGAAGACUUAGGCAGCAAAAGAGGCCAAAUGUUGUCCAAUUGAUUUAUUACAAGUUCUAAGCAGCUAAGGAACGCAGGGAAGAUGGGGAAGUUAGAGAUAGUAAAGAGAGAAAUCCUAGCAAAUGGUUUACAAAGCAGGGAUAGUCACCACCAGAGAUCCAGUGAAGUCUCAGUCUGUUGACCCACACAGCUGCAGUCUGUUAGAGGGUGUACUUGCUCUACUUCAGAACUUUUCUGUUUUUUAUCCUUUUCAUAGUGUCACUUUGGUUGCCAGGGGCACUUCUUUUUUUCUUUUUAGUUUACCACAGCUUGCUUUAGAUGUCAGGAAGCACUUAUGUUUUGUUUGUCAGAGGAAACAGCACAUGCCCCUCCCAAUUACCUUCCAGGGUAAUUGGUAGUUGAUCUGUCACAUGGGGGGCUGCUAGGUAAGUACAUUGACUGUAUGGUGAUCCUCUCCUCUGAGAUGACUUCCUUUAGCCGGCUUGAAUGCCCCAAAGGAGCAACAGCCAAAAAUGGUUUCCUCUGAUUGCCCAGUCGCAUAUGUUUCUCUUACUGCUGAGCUCACAAUAAUCAUUAACCCCAAAAGCUUGUUGAGCAGGUUAUGCCUUGGAUGGGUGCUGCUGAAUAAGCUUUGAGCCAAAAAUUGUUCCAGCUUCUCACAUCCCCACAGUUAGUUUGCCCACAGCACAGGACAACUGUUGUUCUCCUAUUCAUGCACCCAAACUUCUCUAGACAGCUAACAGAGUGGCCCAUGUCUUAUGCUAGACUAGAGUUAGAUGGUGGCUGAGGGCACUUUUCAAGGAACCAAGACAGCAGCAUGCCGAAUACCUGCCUGGCCAGACAGUCACAACCACUCAUAACGUCUGUUCAAAUGUGAACAGGAAAUUCUUGCUCUGAAGCUGGCUUUAUGAAUUGGACCCCAUGCUCUGAAGUGUGGAGGAAGGUGAAUGCAUUAGGAAUUUGUGGCCACUUCUGUCUGCAGUUUCUAUAUCAGUAGGUUGGCAUUACUAAUACAGUGGCUUUACUGGUAUAUAGACUUCCAGUCACAUUUACAAAAUGCAUAAGAGGCGCAAUUAAAUCCUUGCAUUCUUGAAACACUUCUGAUCUUUUUCAUGUAGCCUCUCUCUCUCCUGACUUCAAUAAAAAAAAAAAGUGGGAGUAAAAAAAAAAUAGAACAACAAGGUCUGGAGAAUCUCAUAAGUAUACAGAGUAUCAUUAGUAGGUGGUGAUAUAAAAAAAUACAAGAAAUGUUCCUCUCCGUUACUGUAUAUAGAUAUGCCUGGUUGGUCAAAGCCUGCUACUACAAACACCCAGAAUAUAAUUGCAUAUGAUGUUGCUGAACAUCAUUAACCUGAUUGUUCCAGUAAUCUGAUUAGUAACUGCCUUCGAACUCUGUUUUCAUGAAAUUUUUCUUACCAUCUCAAGAAUUAAUUUAUCCAUUGCUGGCUCUUGCAAUCACUUGCUUAUCCCAGCUAAGGCCCAGCUGUGUUGUCUGAGCUCCUUGAGCUCUUCUCUGUAUGUCAGUCAUAUGUUACUCUGCAUUGUGAGCUGUCAUUCAUUUUAAACACAGCCAUGUGGAUGGCUUGGGUCAUGUUCUCCUCUCCUCCCCUACCAGGCUCCUGGGAAAUUUCCACAUUCCAUUUGUAAUUUUCAGGAAUCACUGUCCUGUUUCUCUCUUUCACCUUAUUAGAUAGGAGAACUUACAACAAUGUCCCAUCUUAAGAAAGAUGUGUAAACUCAGCUCACCAAGUAAUGUCACCAGUAUCUCAGGCAAGUAUCAGAACUACUCUAUUAAAAAACAAUAUCAGCCUGUGAAAUCUUCAUCUACCAGUUCAAAUAAAUGGAAACCUUAACUUUUUUCCCAUUACUUUAAGAAUAUCCAGAAGAAUAUAGACUGCCUGCAAAAACAUCUUUUGCAAUGAGGUAUUGAUUUUGAGGAAGUUUUUGCAAUAGAAAGGUUUAUGAGAUCCAGAGCACUCCAGUCACUCCUGAUGGCAGAAAGGAAAAGAAGUCUGAAAUGAAAACCUGGUAUUAUUGAUCUAAAAUUGAUGGUUUUGAUAGAGUGCCAUUUUUGAAACCAAGAAGAUAUGGGAUUUAUUCCAGUGUGAAAUACAAACCAAUUUCAAAACCUUAAGAGCUCAUAAGACUGCCAGACUGCAUGGUGCUAAUGAGUAACGCAUCAGGAGGGAUUUGCAGAGCUACAAAGAUUAGACAGUUCUUACUCUUUUUUUUUUUUUUUUUUUUGGUCAUAGAAUUCAUUAUCUGAAUAGGGGAAUCUCUGAAUGGCUAGAAGAUGUCAUCUCCAUUACAGCAUUUGCAGAAAGUGGCUAAUGAUGUAUGCUUCUUCUCAGGACAGUGGCAUCCUGAAGGGCAUGGAAAAACAUUCCACCUACAAAAAGCAUCCUGAUAUUCAAGGCUGGCUCUGAGGCUAAAACCACUGCUCUCCAAGAGAAUGGACUGCAGGGGCAGCAGAGGCUCUCCCAUUUCUGAACCUUGCAAUACUGGGCUGUAUAAUGCUGCUAUCCCUAUAUGAGUGAAGGGGCAUGCAAGAAAGAUUAUUCUUGGAGGAUGGCUAAGACACUAGAUGAGAACACAUCUUUCCAGCAGCAGCUGCAAUUGCUGUACCCAUCAUCUUGCAGGUGUUUGGAAAAAAAAAGUCACUGAGCUGAAAUUCUCAGGGGUCUGCUGCUCCCUCAAGCUCUCCCAACUUUUCCUGUUCUGGGAGCAGGCAAGAACGUUCAAAACACAGGCAACUUUGAUAUAUAUACAUAUUUUUAUAUAGAUAUGUAUAUAUACACACACUACAUAUAAAGAUAUAGAAUGAACCAGUCCUUUGUCAUUAGAGACAAAGAUACAGUGUUUGGUGUUUUGACCUCAACUGACAGAUAAGCCCUGCACCUAGUCAUUGGGACUCAUCAUGUCCCAAGCAGGUUGGGACAGAAUCUCAAAAGCCAAAGGGAGAAAGUGCUAAUGUGCUGAGAUUGAAACAGUUUGGCUGCAGCAACCAAACCCUGGUACAGUUCAUGACCUUGUGUGACAUGGGCCCAGAAAAAAAGUGAAGUUCAGACACUAAAUUUUAGAAGAGCUAAUUUUCAGUUAUUAGAAGAAUUAACAGAGGACGCCUCCUGGAAAACUGUCCUUAGGGAUAAAGGAAUAGAUCAGAGCCCUCAAUUCCCCCAUGUAAGAAAUUAGGAAGGGAAGGCAAGAAACCAGCAUGGCUAAUUAAGAACCUGCUGGUCAAGGCAUGUUGUAAGAAGGAAAUGCAUAGGCAGUGGAAGCAGGGACACGUGGUCUAGAAAGAGUAAAUGGAUGCCACUCAGAUGUGCAUGGAUGAAAUCAGGAGAGCCAAGGCAAAGUUCUCCAUCAUAUUUGAAAGUUCAUGACUGUCAGGUGAAGUGACUGGAAAAAUGGAAAUAUUACUCCCAUUUUUAAGAAAGUUAGAAACAAAGACUCAUGGAACUAGCAACCACUGAGUCUCACUUCUGCGUCCAGGAAAUUCAUGGAGCAGAUCCUCCUGGAAGAGAUGUUAAGGCACAUACAAGAUAGGGAAAUUAGUCAACAAGGCUUCACUCAAAGGCAAAGAUGGAAACAGACAUUUUGGUAGGGCCUGUACUGAUAGGAUGAGGGCAGAUUUAUAUUAAAUAUAAGGAAGAAAUUUUGCAUAACAAGGAUGGUGAGGCACUGAAACUGGACAAGAGGUAGAAACUGCAUUCCUGGAAGAAUUCAAGGUCAGGCUGGAUGGGCUGGGGGCAAACUUUUGUAAUGAAAGGUGUCCCUGACUAUUUCAGUGGGAACGGAAUCAGAUGACUUUUAAGUCCCUUCUACCCUAAAAGCAUUCUAUGAAUUUAAGGUUUCAUCAUAAUACAUUGUAUGAAAUAAAAACAAUUUUCCUUUGGUCUUUUCCAUGCUCUUUCUUUUGCUUUGAUGUACUUCCUUCUGUUUUAAUAUUUCUUGUCCUAUCAAGAGUAUAAAAACGUGCAAGAUUUACUUUUAAUUUUUAAUAUGGUUAUUCUUUUAAUGAUUAUCUGCCUUAGUUCUUUUGCAAAUAAAUAUUUUCUUUUCUCCUUUGUUUGCUUUUGUUUCCUCUCUGUUGUUCUAUUUGUACUUUUAAACAAAAAUUAAACUUUUUCUGUUUAUGCAUUUACCUUGCUCUAUACUUUCAGUCUUUUUUUUUCCCCUGCAUUUAUACUAGCAGCACUAAUUUUCAUUUAGCCUCAGAUCCAAUAAGAGCUUUUAGAAUUCCCCCCCCCCCCCCCCGGAGAAAGUUUUCAUUCAAAUAUUUUUCCUUCACUCUGUACCUACAUAUCGCUGAAGCAGCCAGUCAGAUAUUGGAUUUUCCCCAAGAGCAAAUGAAAAUAAGAGAUUUUUCCUCUUAAAAAAAAAAAAGAGGAAAAGACUAUGUGAGCUUCAGUUCCUUCCAAUAAAUUUAUAUCUAUACUGUUUAUGUCCUCCUAACUAAUUAUAUUGCAUCUCUAGAGUAGUAUUUUGCAUGUCAUUUUCCUAUUCUUUUGACCACAAUUGGCUGUUCAACUUGACUUUGAAAAACUGCUGAAAAUACAUAAUGAAGUUUUCUUUCUACCUUAAAUGCUACAGCAAAUUAACUAGAGAAUGCAAACAGUUCAGAAUAAUGUGUACAUAAAGCAGAUUUUUUUUCUAUUUAAUACUUAAUGUCAGAGCAAAUGAUUGACAAAUUGAGCAGAAACAAUCCACUAUCAUUAUCUGUCUUCAGUGUUGGAUAGCAAACAAUGUAUUGGCAGUGCUCAGCUUCUUUAUGAAGCUGAUUUCUACAUGAAAUUAGAAUAAGUAUUAAUCUCUAUCUGUACAUAUGAAGAUACAGUCUUGUACCCAUGAAUUAAAUAGAUUUGUAACCUAAGAAAUGAAACAGUGGUGUUAAUUCUCUUUAUAAACAAAUAUUUAGCAUGAAGAACUUAGGCAAAUAUUUUUUAAUUUCUAUUUUAUGUUACACAUAGAUUAGAUAAAACUUACUGUAAACUUGCCUGGUUGUGCUAUUGAAGUUUGAGUUCAUAUUUUUGAUGUACCUUUGAUGGCCAUGACAGUUGAUUGUUUACAUCACUGAGGCUAUAGAGACUCCAGCCUGACAAAAUCCAUAGUACUGUCAGACACUGAACAGCACAACUACCUAGUCAAUUCUACCUUGAAAUUCACUAGUAGUGAUGCUGACAUUGCCAUUUAAUGUUUCUCUUUCACAGUAAAUUUUUAAAGAAGGUUGCUAAUUAAGGACUUGUCUUAUGUGAAAGAAAAGUGUUAAAAAAAUUCCCAAAAAUCUGAAGAGCCAUUAGGCCCUUUUAUAUCAAGUCUGUGUGUCACUGUUCUCAAAAUAAGGCUUUCAUUCUUGAAGAAGUGUUUUAAAAUGAACUGUCUUUAGGGAUCACUUUAAAAAUCAAUUAAACCAAGUUAACACUUGGCAACUUCUUUGGAACUAUGAACAGGAACAUCUCAGGGACAAAUACAGGCUUUUUUGCAAGGGAAAGACUUCAGCCUAUCCUUUGAAGCUCUAUCUUCUAGCAAUACUGUAGUUCUUUCCUUUGAGCAACUUAUAUACAGAUUAUUUCCCAAAACAGAAAUAAAACCUCACGUUCCUUGGGAGCAGAGAAGUGUUUUGUUGGUAGGUUGCUAGCAGAAGAACAUUCCCUGUGGCUGUGCUGUACAGAUUUGAAGGAUGCUUUCUUAACAUCUCCUAUAAGCCUGAAAUUGUUUAAGAGUUCUUAAAAUAUAAUUGCAGAGACUGUCUUCUAUUUAAGUGUGCAUGCUGAAAUACAUAGCUUCUGCUGAAGAAAGAGUUGAGGUAGUUCUAAGCUUCAAAUUCUAACAGUUUAGCACAGCAGAUUCACAGAAAUACCAAUCAAUACAAUCUGUAAAAUCUCACCACACUGAGAAAUUUGGAUCAUUCCACAUUCUUCGCCCAACUAACCUUCUGCUUUAUCCAGGCCCUGAAGUCUCAUAGAACUUCACAUAAGACAUCAACAAGACAGUGCUAUAAGACAUAGCACUGUAGAAAUCUCUUGGGAAAAAUUUGGCCUUCUGUCAAGUUUAUUGGAGUCCAUGGAAAAGUUUCCUGUUAAUGCUAUUUUUGCCACUGAACUCAGCAGAAUUUUACCUCUGUUCUUAUAUUCAAUAACUAUUUUGAGGAUGUUUAAUGUACUCUGCAAUUUAAGUUUCAGCUGUCUUUGAGCAUUAUUCACACACAUUUCUAUUGUUAUCUAAAAUUCAAAUAUUUUAUUAUUUCUUAUACAGUCCAGAAAGUUUUGGUCACCAGAAAGAACAGAUGGUGAAAAGAAUGUUUACUUUUAAAAAUCUGAUGGUGUGUUAGCAUAGAAACAGGCUAUAAUAUUUUGAAGCUCAUUGAGGGUAUUAAGUUUCUGUGCUUUGAAGAAAAGCCAAGAUGCUAUUCAUGGCACAUAUAUAUUACAGAGCAAAGAGUAUGUUUAAUAUGAAAAUACUUCAAAUUUAAGGUACAUCUUUAAAAUGUCUGUUAUGGGCAAUGCACUAGAGGAAGAUGACCAAAAGGGAUCACAUCUUUCUGUCACAGCACUGGCAGAAGCUAUGCAAAGGGCAAAGGCUAGUGUUUGUUUUGGAAACAGGCCUGAGAGGUAGGAGUGUUGAAGGAAAUGAUGAACACACUUGUGUCAAGAGUAGUGCUGCCAUUGUCCUAAUUAAGUCUGUGAAUACUGGAAUAAACAAACACCACUGCACUGAGUUGAGACAAUUUCCUUCUCAGCACAUGCUUUUCAGAACUUGUCUAAUCAGAGAAGUUGAGUAUCUCAUAUGUCUCUCUGAACACAAAUGUUUCUAUAUAUUUUUGUUGCAAUGCUGCUGCGACCACCUUAUUCUUGCACUGUGAUGUUAUGCAGUGAGACUUGCAACAUAAAAUGUGAUAAAGAAAAAAAUGUUACAUUCCUAUUGACAAGAAUUUUCAUCUACAAAACAUUAGAACCCUGAAGACUGUAUGAGUGUAUGUGAGGUAGUCUGGAAGCAGUUUUGCAUAUUAUCACAAUUAUCACAACAGCUAUUCACAUUUCAACUAUUAUUACUAGGAGUCACUACUUGCUCCUGGCAACACUCAGCACACAGAGGUUUUCUGCAAACACAGAGCAGAGUGAAAUUCUAAACAAAUUAAAAAGAAAUUGAGGGGGAAAAAUAAGCACAUCUUAAAAAAGUAAACGACAAAGACAACAGAAUUCUGGAACAAUAUUAAUCUACUUGGUAUUAAAGCAACACUGUUUCAGUCACAUGAAUUUUACCUGAACUAUUCCAGUUUUCAUUUGGUGCAAUACAAAUGCACUUGUUCAAAGGAAUACUUUAACGUGUUUUCCCAUACACUUGCAGAAUGUGCUUGCAUAUCUCAUUUUAAAGGUCGCUGUGUCUUUUAUAGAUCUCUGAUCAGUUUUACCAAUUUACUCGCCUGGCAGUGCUCUCUAUGCUGUAAGACCAAUUCCCAUUGUGUUUUUUUUUUUUUUUUAAAUUCAAUUCCUCCCACUGCUUCUGCAAAGUGGACACAGAGUUUGGGACAACACCAGAGCCUUUUAGCCACACUGAGGUAAUAGCUGUAUAAGCCUCCAGAUCGCAGGAACACAAGUGCUGCACUACUGCUGCAUUUAAAAGUCAAAAUCUCCUCUUCCCUAAUCAAGUGAUUACCCUAAUUUUCUGGGUUUUAUUUUAAUAAUUUAUAUAUAGACAAAUAUUUAUGCAUUUCAAGCAACACUGCACUAUCCUUUAGGUUGAUCACCCCCACCCCCCAAUUUUAUUUCCCUAAAAAUUAUUCUCUACAUAUUUCUGUCAUGGAAAUAACAGUCUGCUAAACAUAGCAUCACCACAGGACACUCUGCAUUAGAGAUCUUACUGAAGGCUCACAAAGUGACAGACAGAAUGACUUCCCUGAAACAGUUACAACACACCUGUUGUAGUAGGCAUCUUGUGGGGGCACAGGAUGUACAGGACAGGCUUCUCCCUAAGCAUAGAGAGACAGUGCUAUCGUGCUGACCUUGAUGCAGAGAAAACAGGAAAAAAAGAAGGAUGAGAAAAGAAUGUGGAAAUGGCCAAAUAAGGCACAAUGUUACCUGGUAUGAACCAAUCAGAGUGGGACAUGACAGCACAGUUUUGUAGGUAAAAUGUAUAUAAGCUGUGUUCAGUAGUGAAUAAACGCCAUUUUACCGCUCAUCAUAUUGGUGUCACCUCGGUAUAUGGCCAAGCCGCAGGCUCCCCAAGGCAACGAGCAUCAUGGUUGACUUCAAUAGUCAACACAUAUCAAAACUUCAGUGUUUUACCAAGAAUUAUCUGACCUAAAAUUCAAUUUACAUUUAUUGUAAUCACUGAUAGACAUGGAGGGAAAAAGACAAUUCUCUACAUUAACAUGUAGAAAUUCCAAUAUCAUGUGCUUCUUUAAAAUAUCUUUAUUAAGGAAUGGAGGAACAUUUUCCAAGAUCCUUCAUAUUUAGAUGGAGAAUUAUGUAAGCUUAUCACCUCUCAGAUACUGAAAAAAAUAUGGUUUUCCCUUAGAUUGCAAUAAGACUUUUGUCUAAUUUAUCAUUUUUCUACCUAUCAUUAAUAUUAUUUGUGAAAUAAGAAUACUACUCAUGGAAUAUUAUUGGAAAGUUCUUCCUGUUCAAUGAAAAAUAUAAUGAGCAAUUUUUUUUUUUUACUCAUUCAAGAAAAAUUUCCUUUCUGAUUAGUUCCCAAACUAUGCCAUAUAUUUGCAUAAUGGUGCAUUACAGGACCACAUCCAAGACUUGCUGAGAAGUAGCCAGAAGAGAGAUGGUCUUGUUUGCUCUAACAUUCAUUUCAGUUGCAGGUUUACAAUUUUAAGGCUAAGCUGGGUAGGUACAUGCAAAUAUUUUGUGAUUCUUCAAUUCCAAAAUAUCCCUCCCCCCCCCCCCCCCCAUCCCAUCCAUCUUGCUCCAAUUCUGGUUAAGUUACACAGAAAAAACUAGAGGUCCUUCUCAGCAAGAAGUUGACUACAAGUCAGCAAUAUACCCUUGAAGCAAAGAGGGCAAACAUCCUCCUGGCUGCAUAAGAGGAAGUAAUUCCAGCAGGUGGAGAAAGGCAACCAAUUCCCGCUACUCAGCACUGACACAUCUGGCAUACUGGGUCCAGUUCUAGGCUUCCCAGUAAAUGAGAGACACAUACUGGAGGGAACCCAGCAAAGAGCCACUAAAAGGAGAAGAAUUUGGAGCAGAAGCCCCAAACCCCUGAAACUUCAAUUUCUGAGAUACUGUGAUUGCCAGUUAAAAGAGAGGGUCUCUGUCAGGGCAUGAUACAGGAACAUGCCCUUACAGUGCUUCUUUCUAUACCUCUUUCUUUUCACCCUUCUGAUUCCUCCACAAGUUGGGGGGGGGGGGGGGGGGAGAGGGUUCUGUGGGACUAGAAGUUGCUUUCUUCCAGCAUGAAAAUACUUGUUUAUACAGAUCAUCUGCAUUGUGUCCAUACCUUCAGGAAUUCCCUGGUGUUCUUUCAAGUUCCUAGAGAUUAAUUCAUAUACUUUAUCCUAUGAAAUUUUUUUGCUUCUGCUUAAAGAACAUACCAGAGUCCACCAGCCUCAAUGCCAGAUUACAUAUAGACUAGAUAUGUUCCAUUUCUCUCCAGGUCUCUUCUUGGGCCCUUCCAAGAUAUAAUUAUGACUUCCUCAGAUAAAUCAUUGUUUUAACUCUACAGUCAAUGAAUUGAUGUUUGGAUUCUGUUGCAACACUCUAGAAUAAAAUUGGGAGCAGUACUCCCUCAAGCCAUGGCUGAGGUGUGUAUGGAUGUUUGCUGGUGCUAAACCUGACAGAGCAGCAUAGUGUGAAGGAAGCUACAUCUAGGACAGCUUCUGGUGCAUACUAGAAUUCUUGAUUAUUUGCAUCCUCCAAAUGGUGCACAGUAUCACCCAGAGAUCCCUACCUGAUAGGUAGCAGCGCAGAACACUGGUAAUAAGUUACCACAGUCCUACAUAAAUCCUGCAGACAAACAGUAACAUAGUACCUAAGACAAGGAGUGAGUUGAUUUACCACUGUUUUAAUUGGUAGCACAGAAAAGUGAUCCCAGCAUGUGAAGCUUGUCCCAGUGUCAGGAAAGAGGUUUUUUUUUUUUUAAUUACUUCUAUCAGUGGCCCCCUAUAAUAAAAAACUACAGAUUUCUGCUACCUCAUAAAACUCCCUCAUAUUUGGCAGUAAUUCAUCACUCUUACGAGUUCCAGAUUCAUUUCUUAUUUAAUUUGGAAAUAGAAGCAUUUCCAUAUUGGCUUCAAGCUGUAGUCCAGUGGCCCAAGUAGAGCAUAGAUAUCAACAAUUAAAAUUAUUUUUCCUCAUGAUUUAUCAAUACGGAUAUUAUAAUAGAUCAUGAUAGGAAUGCAAAGAGGUCAUUCAUGGAAAAGUCGUUAGACCUGACUCAAAGCACCAAAAAACAUACAAGGAAAACAUAGAUCUAAACCUGAAAUUAGUGAAUCAAGCUAUUUCUAAUAUAAAGAGUAUUGACAGUACAGUAUUUAUUUCAGCUGAAAUUGAUUUUCCUCUUUAAAUUUCUCCACUGAGUUUAUAGAUUGACUUUCAACCAAACCUGAAACCUUGUACACACUUUUUAUAGAUUUUCCUUCCAAAUUGUUGUCUCUAGACAGAUUUAGUUGUUGAGUGUUUGAUAGACAAGUUCUGCUUCUGAGUCUUUAAAGUAAUUUUCAUUUUCCUUACAACAUCUUGAGAUGUCAUCUGAUGUAUUUACUUUGAUAAAGGAAGGAGAAAUUAGUUGUCAAUGAAGACUGAUUUAAAUGAAAAGAGAAAGGAAAAUAAGCAUUUAACUAGUACACUUUAAUAUACCUAGCUAAACUAAAUUGCUUUAUCAUUCUGAUUAACUUCUUCAGAAUUCACAAAGGAAAGAAAUUAAGAGAUUUCAUGGGUUAUAUUUACAGUGACAGCCUCACUUUGAAACAUGAAGGAUCAAGUUUGCAUCUCCCUUUUACUUGUGCCUUCAUAAUUAGUGGACCACUAUUUUUCCUGAGAUGCGUUUGGUUAUAUUUUGAUAUUCCUAGGCAGGAAGCUCUGCUCUUAGAACACUAUGUCAGACUGCACCUUCCUACCAAUAAACUGAUAGUUGCACUAGAAAUUGGGAAGCUAAGUGUGAUCACCUCAUUACUGUACCUAUACAUAAAUGUUACCUUUGGUCCUUGCAAACAGAAGAAGUAUCCACAUACUACAGUUUCAAUAAGGCUGGAGCGUAAAGCUUGGAAAGCAAGGCUGCCCAAACACUGAAAUUGGAAGAUGUUCCUCAUCUGCUUAUAGCUUUGGCAAGCAGUAAAAGUACCCACAGUAAAAUCAUAUCCCAGGCUCCUGUUGUUGCAUGAAAGGUAAGUUCAGAUAAGAGUAAGGGAAUAACAGAUAAGAAGGAAGGAUAAGACCUCUACAGGUUUUAAUUUCCUUUCACGUUUUUUCUUCUUGUCCAAACAGUUGCUAAAUUUAAUAUUCAUUAAAACCCAACCUUGAGCUGUUUUUCUGAGCUGGUAGAUUUUACCACAUGGCACUACUUUGGUUUUGAUCUGACUCAAUCACUCUAGUAGAGAUGUAUAAUUUACAUUGUUGCAGGAGAGGACCAAGAAUAGCUGUACCAAAGAGUUUAACUCUUCAUAAAAGAGAAUAAUCUUUUAAUCAGAGAAGCUGGACAAAAAUCCUAGCCAUGUUUAGAGUGGAUUUAAUUAGUGUAUUUGGGAAUUAUGCAACAUGGUUGCUUGCAGAGCUGGCUUUAGGCCAGGCAACAGCGGGCAGUUACUUAGCUUAGCAGAAUUACUGACAAGGAUAUGAAAAACUUGGCUCCAGAUAUUUAGGUAUACCAAAGCACUACAACUUCCUGUCAUCUUUUGGCUUUUUACAGUCUUAAAUAUUAAAAGCUCCCUAACUACCAAGAAAAGUAGCAAACAAAGUAUCUUAAAUACCUAUCACUAAUUUUGCUUUCAGUGGACUCUCUGACAAAAAUCUCCAGGAUGGAGUGGUGUCAUAUCACAGAGUCUCCCACACCCACCCAGCCUCAUCUCUCCUCAUUACCAUGAUUUCAGCAUUGUUUUGCUUCCAAAAAAGAAAAACUGCUUCUGACAGGUUCUUGGCAAUACCAGCAAAAUAAUGCUCAAGUGCCACAAUCAGGGAUCCAGUGAGGGCCAGCUUGAGCUGCAGUUGACAGCGUGGAAGACCACAUGGAACACCUUAUUGCAUCACAUUAGGAGACUACUGAAAGUGAUUGAAGAUACCGCCAACCUCAUCCCCUAGCAUAUGUAUCUUCUACUACUCCAACUCAGUCUCUUGCUGUGUAAGAACUCGAAUGUCAUCACAAGGAAUUUAUCAUGAUUGUGACUUGAUGACAGAAGACGUAUUUCCAGUCCUUGAUUGCUAAAUACUUAGGAAAAAAUAUUACCUUGACUUUCUCUUCUCCUACACAACAUGGAGUGUGAAAUAGAGACCUAUCAUACAUGAUUUUUGUGAAGGAAAAUUCCAUAAAGUAUUUUAAUAUGGUAGUAUUUGAAACGUGAGUGGAGAAGAUAGGGGGUGCACUAUGAUGAGCAUAAUAUUUGGUAGGAGAGCCAGCUUUCUGAAAACUUUGGUUGCUAGCUCUUGUUCAGAUGCUACUUAGAUUUAUGUUAACCCAGCUACUGGGAGUCUGCAUGGUGAGACAAGUCAGGGAAUUCAGCAAAGUUAGAAAGAACACAGAAGAAUGUGUAUGUAUUUUCUGAAGCACUGUAUUUUCACUGUAUGAUUGCAGGGAAAAAAAGAAAAAAGUAUCAGCAUUAAGUAAAGGAAGGAGGUGGAAUAAUAGCUGCUUAAAUCAUAUUAAAUCAAAUACUUUCUAAGUCACAGCUUGAGGUAUAAGUGGACUUUGUUUGUUAAAAAAAAUGUGUCUGGCAGCUGACGGAGCAAUUGAUAAGGACAAUCUGAAGAAAAAUACUUAUGGGGAAAAGGGUGUGAUAGAGGACAGUGAAGACCUACUUUGGGAGCAAAUCAAGCAAAAUGGUUCUCUGAAGAGCAAGUAAAUGAGAUGCUAAUGAAAUAUUAAAUCAUUGCCAGAAAAUAGAAUACAUGAGUUUACACAAUAUUUAUGAUAGAUAAAUUAUAUAUCCUCCUAGAAAAUAGAAUUUAGAAGUAGCAAUUCAAAAAGAUGCUUGGAAGAUUCCAGAUAGAGAUCAUGAAAUUGGAGAGUAUCUAGUGAAGGGAUAAGCAUCAGUGCAAAAGUACAUUUCCUUCUAAUCAUUUAAUGAAUGCUUCUGGUAUUUGAUUUUAGCUGUUUCCUCAUCUAACUUAGAUUUGUUUGUGAAGUACAAGCUGGUGCUUUAUGCAGAAUCUGAAGAUGACAGGAAUUUCAGGAUUGGGUUUAGAUCAAGACACAAGAUCUCUUUAAAAUGCUUAUUCAAGAAACCAGUAGUUAACAGAUUCAUUGUCCUUUAAAAAGAAAAAAUGGGUGAAUAAUACUUAAAAUCAUUCUGUAUAAAAUAGUUCUGGGUAUACAGUUCUGUGAGUCUAACUGUAUGCAAUUUACAGAAGAUAUAUAACGGUAGAUACCACAGAGACUUUUUGUGUGGUAGAUAUCAUGCAGACACAGAACAAAGAAAUUGUAUUAUCAGAAAUGAAGUGUUAAACCAGCACUUUAAAAUCACUUUAUACCAUUUUGACUCCCUGAUCUGUAUGUUACACGAGUCUCAUACUCUGGGUUAUAAGUUUUUAAAAUGAUUUCUAAGUCUCUAUUUUACGUAAAUUAUGUCAUCUUUCAAUCUCAGUAGCUUUGGCACAUUUUAUCACCCCAAGCAGGUCGUAAUUUGUUAGCUUUCUUUGCUUGAACUGAGUAGUAUAGUAUUAUAUUAGGUUCUUUUUUUUCUCAUUUUAAAAUGACUUUAUAUGACAAACACUGGACUGUGAGAGAUCUACUCUGACUAUUCAAGGACUCCUCAGAACUAAUAAAUGUUGUGAAAUGGCUUCUGACAAUCUGGUACUUUUUCAGUAAUGAAGAAGUAGAAGUCAGCAGCUCCCUACCUAUAAGCCCUAAGAUUUAGAGUACGUGGGGACAUGAGCCGCUUUGGUUUACUUAGAUUCAAUUUUUACCACCAGUUUUGUCUAUAAGCAGUGAAGAAUACAUAUAUAUCUUAAGGCAGCCCAGUGCUUCAGAGAGUGGAAACCUGAAGCCAGCUAACCAUGUCCCAAAGGGUAAUCCCAUUAAAAACAAUGUUAGGGAUUAGUGUGGGAUGUAUUUUUUGAAAGCAAUUUGUAUUCCACUGAAGGCAAACUUUCAAAAGCAGAGUUAGAAGUUAGCAUCAAAGAGUUAACCCUAUAUAAGCAUUGUGUCAUUAAUUUUCAAGGCCUUCUUACCCAUCCUUCCCAGGGAGAGGCUGGUUUUAGGCAGUUGAAAUUGCAGAGAUCAAAACGCUUAUUAAAGAUUUAUUAGGGUAAGGAAUAUACUGUACCUACUACAGAAGAUAAUUUAUAUAUCCUACCACAUUUCUGGAAACAGUGAAUUUUGAUAGAUUCAUGGAAGGCUAAGGACUGUCUGAAAAUGUGGUGGCAGCUCAUGUAGUAAAUAGAACAGGCCAAGGACUGCUCUCUGCUCCUGGGGCCAUCUGGCACAACGUAUCCAUGGGACUGAGUUUUCUUCAUCCCAAAACAAAGCAGCAGCAUCCACACACCUACAGGAUGUGGUCACUGACCAUGUGAAGCCUAGCAUCAUGCCUGGGAGGAAAGAUAGUGUGCUUGGGACAAAAUUUACUAAUAUGCAGUAUGGACAGUUACGUGCCAAAGCCUGGACAGGUCCACUGGUACUGUCUCUGUGUUGGUACAGACUUAGCCAAAGACUACAGUGGAGCAGCUGCAGAAUUACAGACAGCAAGGAGGACAGCUAAGACAGUGGAGGUUGUAUAGAUAAGGUGUAGAUUUAGAAUUUAAAAAAUAGAGUUCAAACCAUAGAUGGCUGCUCAAGAUGCUUUUAAAAUGUAGCUAAACUCCUAAUGUUUGGGCGUACUCUCCCUUUUAGUGGGAAUGAAGGAUUUAACGUAAUGUUAAUGACAUUUAAAGUGUCAGAUGGUUUCUGCAUUUUCUUCCACAGCUUCUGCUGUAUAUCUAAAGGGAUAUAUGAGGAUAAUUGGCAAAUACCUUCUAAAAGCAAGGUAAUUUACAAAUAUAUGUGAAUCACCAACCCACAUAAAGCUAUCAGAAGGGCAGUGUUGUAUAAGAUUGCUGUUUAAAAAUUGCUGUACUUCACAGAUAUUAAAUGAUCACCGUAUCCUUAAGAAAAAAGUUUGGGCAAGGUUGUGGCCAGUUUCAGAUGUGGCAUUUGCUACAAAUGGUGUUCCUUCAAGUUUUAGUUUAGAUAAUUUCUAUAACUUUGCUGUUUGUUACUGCACAUAACUGUAGAAGUCUGUAGAAAUAUCACUCUGUAAAUGGAAUCCUGAACUCUUCCCUCCAGUGAAUAUCUGUGGUGUUUAGUGGGAGUUAGUCAUGAAGUGUGACCAGAUUUUAUGAUGUUAUUCAAGAAUUUUACCAGUUUUGUAACAAAUUAUAGAUAUUCUGCAUGGAAAAUUUGACAGAAAAAACUAGGAAACAGUGAACUGUUUUUGUAGUAGUUAAUGUCAAGGUAUAUAUACAGUCCCACGGAUCCUACUGAACAUGAUAUUCAUUACAUAGUUACAAAGGCAGAGUUUAAAAAUACAAAUUUUGUGAAAGCCACAAGCCCCCUGUUGUCAUAAUACAUUAUAAGAAAUUAAUCUACUGUUUCUUUUAUUUAAAAACAAGCAAAAAGCAAACAAACAACAAAAAAAAAAAACACACAAUGAAAUCAGAUCACUUGAAGUGUUUGAAUGUUUGUCUAAGGGUUUAUAUGUUUAAAUCUUUAUGAAGGACGUAAUUAAAAAUUAGAGAGUUGUGAGAUUCUGCAAUGGACUAAACCUUGAAGUAAAUUGUGAUGGUAAGGUGGGUGCUUGUGCACUGUGUCAGAAUGAAAUGCAGACUGAUGCAUUUGACUUCGUAAAGAAAAAUGAUAUCUGGAUAGUAGUCAUCCAGACUUUCCAGACAAAAAGAGAAAUUCCACGUGGCCUGGGUUCACGUUAUGCGAGGAACGUGCUGAGGUCCAGCUGCUAUUAAAAUAAAAAUUAUAUACUUAAAGUUAGGCAGGAACUUAAAGUCUUCUAAAUUCUCUUUCUAGUACUUUUAUUGAAUUAUUGCUUUAUUAGACAAGUUUAGAAGUCUUCUGUUGCUGUCUAUCUUAAUGUCUCUUACAUUUAAUCUAGUGGUUGGCAACUGUGCCCACAGCAGGGGGUUGAAACUAGAUGAUCUUUAAGUCCCUUUCAACCUAAGCCAUUCUUUGAUUCUAUGAUCUCAUGUAUCUUCAUUUGUAUCUACUAAGAAUGGAGAUCAUCAAUGAAUUUCAUAUUUCUUUUAAAAAGAGUCUGUUCUGUUGCCUGUAUCAGUUCCGCUGUAAUAAACAGAAAUAAGUCUUCCAGUACAUUCACCUCCUUCUGAGCUGUUUAUCAAGCAAAGUUCUUUGUAUCAUUCUACUUCAGCUUCUGAGAAAGAUAACACUGCUCAAAAUGGUACAGCAUCUGUUGGAUUGCACAAAACCCUACAUAGUUUUAUUAUAGAGCUGCCUGCAAGAUCUUAAUUAAUUGUUCGCAUAUGAAACAAUGACAAAUAGUGUUUCAUUAGGUGGUGAUAUUUUUAAUGCUGACUUAUAUCCCUAUGUCUGUUUGGACUGUGUGUGUGUAAAGAGGUUAGUGAAUUCAUACUGCAUUAAAAGUAUAUAUAUGAAAUAUUUAGAGAAAGAAAUUGCAAAAUACUACACCAAAACCACCACCACCAACAAAAAGCAACAACAAAAAUCCAUGUGGCCAGCUCUGUUAGCACAGAGAGCUAUUUUCUAUUUUGUUUCUAUUUUAUCUGAGAAAGAAGCUUUGUUUGGCAUGCUUUUGUUACCUUUGCUACAGAACCUCCCAGGCACAUUGCAUUUAGAGCCAUCUGAGGAGCCAGGCCAACUCCACAAGCUGAGAGCAGACUCCUGGCAGGUGCUAAGAUUUUCUCUGCUCACUGGCUGUCCAGCACAGGUAAAAAAGUACAAGGAAGGUACAACACUAAGCUGUUACAGCACAUGCUGAAACUUUGCUUCAUGGAAAGCAUUUCAUAACUGAUCAAAUGCUCCAACCAUUUUAAGACUGAAAAGAUACAUCUUCCUUUUGAGACAUUUGGUUGUUUUAUGCUUACUACUUUUAAUGUAAUUACUGGUGUUGAGUGAAAAAAGUGUGCCCUGAGUCUUCUGAGGCUACUUUAGAAAUAUUUAAUUUUUCAGUUUUAUAUUUAAAAUCAAUAAAUGCAUCCAGCACGUUUGGUUUUGGAUUGUUUCUGGAAGAUAGUUUGGAGAUACAGUAAGAUUUCUGAGCAGCAAUUUCAAGCUUUGAAAAAAAAUUACUCAUUUAGAAAAGGUUCUAUUCACAUUUUUUUCAGCAGUACAUAUUGAAUUACUAUAAACAUUAUAUAUAUAUACAUAUAUAUAUAUGUAUUUUAAAGUCAGUGUUAUUGAAUAAUACAGAACACUUGCCUGUUUUCCAAACCACUGAAGAAUUUGAAAAAACUGCUGCUGGAAGUGGCAAGUUUUUCUGUGUAAACACCUUUAUUUCUUUAGACAUAAUUUUAAAAAUCUCAGUUUUACCUCAGCAUGAAAGAGAUCAGGAGCAGUUUCUUUUGCACAAUAUUCAAAAUUAUUAUUUCUGAGAAAGUUUAUAAAAUAUGGCAACUCUUUAUGGAAAACUUAAUAUCUGGAAACAGACAUAGCAUGUAUUUCUUUCUGUACGUGAGAUGAUGGUAUUCUACUAUGCAAGUACAGAAGAUGACUCCCUCCUCUAUUGUCAGUAUCUGUGCUGUAUAGAGGAUUUCCUCACCAAAAACCUCUGAAAAAAAUUUUGUCAGUCUCCCUGAGGCACUGUGGCUGUUUGUCAAAUCUCCCUUUGCCUGGAUGCUAAGGCUCAUCGUAUGACAUUAAAUGUUCUAACAGUGAUAUGGAUCAGCAAGUCUGAUUUGCACAGUCUAGAUCUGAUUUCAGCCUCACUGUGAUUUUGUGCUGUUGGAUCUCUUCGCUUUCUUAAUGUCGUUGGAAAUACUCUCAGAUUACAUCAGAAUAUCCCAGAAAGUGAAAUCAAAUGGCUGGUCAGCUUCAGCUCAGAGUGGUCGUGUUGUGAAUCUGGGACUGAUCCAGUAAAACUUCAUUUGGUUUACAAGAUGUUCUAGUCAUUUAUGUUUCUUUUUCAUACAUGUACACAUAUCAGUUAUCUAACAGUCAAUGCUGUGAAACUGUUGACAGUAAAUUUUCUGUCAACUUUUAAUUCUGCUUCUUUUCUAUAAUUAUGUCCGUAAUAGAUUUUGUCUGCUAAUCUGUAUCUCUGUCACCUCAUUUUUUUUGUACAAUACUUUGUACAAUACUUCAUACUUUGAAUCUUCUGGAUUUAUUUUUUAAUUUAUUAUUUACUUUGGGAUUUAGUGUUUAUGUUAUAAAUUACCACCAGAGACCAUUCCACAUUGUUGGUUGGUCCAACAGUGGUCCAAAAGAAUUUAAUCUAGGACUUUGAGUCACCAGCCAUCUGAUCUAAAGGCAUCAAAACCAGGCAUAAGGUUUAAAUCAGUGCGUAGAGAUGGUUUUAACAGGCUGCUGCAUUUUGGCUGCAGACAGGCUGGGUUCUGGUUAGAAUGAAUGGGUAGAGACUGUCCUAGAGGCUGAAUGGCGGUUUCUUCCACAGACAGUGAGUACAAGGGAGUCCUAUCAGAUGUUCUUGCUCUUCUGUGUGCCUCUGAAAGCUGCUGUUUUAUAGGAGUGCCUGUUUUCAAAUUUGGUUGUUUUUUCUAUUCCUGGGAUAUUUGAACUCUAAUUGCACUGGGAAUCAGCAAGAAGAAGUGGCAGUAUUUCAAAGUUGUUAUUUAAUAGAUGUAAUAGCUGUUUGAUAGGAUGAUUCAUAUAUCAGAAACAUUAGUAUGAACAGUAUAUCUUAUUCAGGACAGACAGAUAACAGAAAGAGAUACAGGUGUUACCUUAUGUGCUACCCUACAUGAAGAUUUACUUGCUCUGAGAUUAAGAAUAAAAAAGGGCAUGGAACGCUUCAUUGUUCCUGACUGACAUUUAAAGAGGAAAAAGUUCUUAUGUUUUGAUGGCAGUCAGCAGUGGGACACCUAUCAAGAAGAUGUCCUUGAUGUGAUGAAUAUUUCCAGAUUUUUAUCUUUUCAGAUACUUUUCAGAUUUGAUCCUCAUAAUCAGGUAAAUGCAUGGAGGAAAAAACAAUUUAAAAUAACUUGAUGAGUUAUCAUGAAACAGCAGAAUUCAAGAGCAGGAAAAGAGGCAACGUGCUUCAGACGAACAGAUUAUAGACAUUCAGAGAACCAGUGAGAAACUGUGGGAGACUGUUCUGAGAGAGUUAAAAAUAGAAGAUUCUUUAAAGAAACUAUGUUAAAUGCAAGUUCAUGCAGAACUAUGCAAAAUAAACCAUGUGAUCUAGUAAAUUAUGAUGGUAUGGAGGAAGGAUAAGAGAUGUAGGUCCCUCACCAACGAUAAGACUUUUAAGAAUGAUGAAUAGCUGGACAUUUGAGACCAAAGAGAGAAACUGAGAAGCAGAGAUAGAAAACAAGUAGUGCAUAGAUGUUGUUUAGUUCACAGCAUUUUGGUGCACUAACGGGUACAGGAAGCUAAGGAAAGGCUAGGUCCACUUCUUUACAGAGUGAAGGCAUGGACAAACAAAGCCUGAAAGCCUAAUAUUAUCUUGCUUUACUCUGAAGGUCAGUUGUGAGCAGAUGACAUAUUGAAACGCACCCAUGACGACAAAAAAAAAAAAAAAAAAAAAAAAAAAAGGAAGAACUACUUUGAGAGGGAAAGAAGAUAUUUUUAUUUGUGUAGAUAAUCAAAAUAUGUUCUAAUCAGCUAGAUCAAUGUGACAUUCUCAAACUCUUGAAAAGGCUAGAAAGAGUUACUAUUUUUAAAAAGAAAUAGAAGAGAUGGUAUAAAGUUAUAAACCAAACAGUUAAUUUCAAUUCCUGCCAACAUAGUGGAGAUAAAUAGUUAGCAUAUUUUGUUGUGAACAUUUAGAAAGUAGCAUAUGAAGAAGAAGGAGUUGUCAAUAAAAAUCACAUCAAACCAAAAUCCAUUCUGUUAAGGGACAAUAUAGCUGUAGAAAAGCAGUUAAUGCAACAUUUUGAUUUCAGUGAGUCUUCUGACAUCUCCUAGAACACUCUCAUAAGAAAGCUAGGAACAUAUGGUCUAUAUGAAAAUGUUGUAAGGGAAAGAAAUCAAGCCACAGCAAUACGUUGAGUGGGUUUUUUCAAUAAUCUGUUCUUAUUCUAGAAUUAUUUGAUAUUUUCUUCAAUGACUUGUCUGACAAAGAGGAGAGGAGCUCAUAUUUGCAAAUGAUGCCUGUCUAGAAGGAAAUGCACGUGGAGAAUUCAAACUGAAAAUAUUCUUGUUAAUUUAGAGAAAAGAUUUGAGAAAAAGCAGGAUGUAAUUUAAUAAGAAAAAAGUGUGCGUGUCUCUCUACUUAAGCGGCAAUCAUCUGCCCAAGCACAGUUGUAAAGGUGCCCAUGUAACUAUCCACAUCUAGAGGGACCUUGAUAGGCUUGAGAGAUUAGCCCAUACAAACAUAAUAAAAUUCAAUAUGGCCAAGUGUAAGUUCCUAAUCCUGGGUCAAGGCAAUUCCAAGCACAACUACAGGCUAGGUGGGGAAUGGAUUGAGAGCAGGCCCAAGGAAAAGUGUUUGGGAGAGUUGGUUGAUGAGAAACAACACAAGUCCUCAGUGUGCACUUGCAACCAGGAAAGCCACCUGUAUCCUGGGCAGCAUCAAAGAAGCCUGGCCAGCACAAGGUGAAGUAGUUGAUUCAUCCUCUCUAAUUUGUUCUCACGGGACCCUACUUGAAGUACUCUGUUCAACUGUACUGGAUUCAGAUUUGCAGAAAAUCAUACAGUAUUUUGCAGAAAGGGUAAAAACUCCGUUUUAGGACUAUCUAGAACAUCUCAUAGGGGAUUUACUCUUUUUUUUUCUAUUUAAGACUUGUCUUUGAACAGUUGAUUACUCUCACACUCCAUAGCUAUAUAUAUAUUAUAUACGUAUAUAUAUAUAUGUAAAUUGCCCAGAAUUGCAAGUGAAAUAGUUUCUGUACACAGUUCCAGGCUAAAAGACUUUUCUUAGGUAUUUAAAUCCAAAAAGCUUCAACUUGUCUGAACAUUUUCAAGGAGAGCUAGAGGAACUGAAAAUACAGAGUCAUGGAGCAAUUCGAUAAGAGUAGAGCUGCCAUUGAUGUGGACUGUUCCAAACAAACUUCAGCAAAGCCUUUCACCAAGUAGAUACAAUUAGGAAGAAAGAGAGUAAAUGUAUCAUAGUAACGGAAAUAACAAGCUUUCACAGCUUGGCCAGUAUCAUGGGAGUUACUAUACCACAGCAGGCUGGCACAUGUUCUGUUUGUAAAAUACAGUGUACAGUACAUGUUUCCAGGAAAAUCAUAAAGACAUUUAUGAAUUACACUGGAAUUAUGUUGAAUUCCCUUCCUUUCUCUCACAGAGAUGGUUUCAUUGCUGCACAGCUAAACAAGUCAGUCUCUCGGGGGGAAAUAUGAAAGUGUAGUGGUGACAGAAAGCACCUCUGAUACAUGACCAGAUCACUGCAUAAUGCAUUACUCUUAUCCAUCCUCAACCUUAAAAAUCAGCACUAAGGUCUACAGCAAAAGUGGAACUGGCUUCUAAUAUUGAGGAAUUAAAGCCUUACAAAUGGAUUUGAUAUGAAUAAAUCACAUGAAGUCCUCACUGUCAAGUCCUCAGGAUGCUGUCAUUUCUUUGGGAAAAAAAUAAUAAUUAAAAAAAAAGGGUAACUUUGAGAAGAAUAUGAGAAAUACAUUUUCUGGCAAACUACUCUUCUACACCUAUCAAAUUAUUAACAUUUUGAAUCUAAAAGCAAUUGAAAACUGCUUAAGAGGUUGAGAUGUUAAACUAAUCAGAGAUUAUGGAUUGCUGGGCAGAUGAGAUCAAGUGUUAUCAUGAAUUCUUGUCAUGUGACCCUGAAAUUUAAGGCACUGUCAGAAUGUGUGGUUGAUAUGUAUAUAAGACAUUUAUUAUAAGACUUAUUAUAAGACUUUCAAAGAAAACAAAUGAUAUGUUGUUAUUUUUCUCUUGGUUUUGGUGACUUGAAGGGAAAUUUGGAGGCUUCAGUAAUUACAUAGGUAACUCCAAAAAUAAUGCCUCCUACUUAUUUCCAUGGAAACUACAACAGAUGCAAAGAGCACAGUAACAUUAUUUGAUUCAGUAAAUUCUCAGCUACAAGGCAGUGUCUUUCAGCAUAGUCACCACCACUAGCUGUGCAUUUUCACCAGCAAUAAGCAAGAGCCUACAUGCCAUGCUGAUGAAAACCUGCACAAGAGAAGGUGACCCACUGUUUCACAGCUGCUGUGAUGGCAUAAUUGCUAAGAAAAUAUUGUCCAUCUUUCAUUGGCCUGAAUGAAUAGAGGUCAGAAGGCAACAAAUCCAGACUGUGCGGUGGGUGUGGUAGGACAGUCAGACAGGACUGUCAGUGUGUUCCAUGGUCUUUGAACUGGUGUGGAGCCUGACAUUACUGUAUUGAAAUAAAUGUUGUCUUCUUCUCUUGUCUGACUAUGAAAGUUUGAGCCUUCAGCUUAGUCAGCAUCAUGAUAUAGUGGUCAGAGUUGAUGGUUUAUCCAGGUUCCAGGAAAUCUGAAAGGAUCACCUCUUUCUUAUCACAAAAGACAGUGCAUAUCAUUUUAUCCACAUCAAUGGGGAAUUCACAUACUGCCACUCCAUGGACUACUGUUUUGACUCUGGCUCAUAGUGGUGACACUGCAGUUCAUUGCUGUUAAUGAUGCUACCCAGGAAACCAUCACCUUCAGCCUUGUACUUGUUCAAUAGGUUCUGACAAACUUGCAUACAGUGUUCUUUCUGUUUCAGUGAGAGCAUUCUUGGGACCCACCUGGUGCAAACUUUGUGAUAUUUUAAUGUUACCACCGUUUCCAACUCACUGAAGCUGAUAUUUAGCUCCACACACAGUUUCCUGGUUGUAAUCCAUAAAUUUUUGGGAUCAAGCUGCUUAAGGCGCUCUUCAUUUUGUGGUGUGAUGGCUGUGCAUGGCUGUCCAGAACACGUCUUUUUCACAUCACUGUCACCACUGCUGAAAUGCACCACCGCCUCACUGUGCUCACAUCCACAGUUUGAUCUCCAUCAACAUUCACCAAGCACCAAUGAAUGUCAAUGGGUGCAUUUAUUUCUGCGUGGAGGAAUUCAGUGACACACCUUUGCUUGAUGUGCACUUCCAUGUCAGAUGCCAUUUUGUCAGACUGCCCCUCUGCUGCUAUCUGUCACAUGGCAAGAAAAUGUAAUGGAAUAUUGGCAGGAGUGUUCAACUUCAACUUCCAUAUUGCCAAUAUCCACCUCGGAUAUCUUGGGCUUACAUAGUAAAACAAAUGGCAUUACUUUUCAGAGGAGUCCUCAUAUAGGAAAGUCUGUGAGUAACUGUAUCGAUUUAUCCUGAAUUUGAAGAAUCUCCACACUGCUUUAACAGGAGCAACUGCAGUUUCCCUGGACUUCAGGAACCUGGAUUCAACACCUAGAGGUGGGAUACUUGUGGAAUUCUUCCAAGCUGAUGUGUAAGAACCCUGUCACUUGGGCUGUCAUUAGGAACUGCAACAGGCUUGAUUCUUUGUUCUGCUCUUCUCCCACUGUGUUUCUGCACACAUCCCCAGCUAGAAUAAUUGACAAUGGAUGCUGUGUAUGGGACUGAACUGUUUUACAUAAGGGAAAAACUACACUAAGAAAUUUUCACAUUUUUAUAACAUACAGUCAAUAGUCAAAACCAAUAAACAGUAAUAUGUUUUCAUUUCAGUGAUGAUGAAAGCUGUAAUACUAGUUUUGUUUAUCAAUGGAGACCUCAUUUUUUUUUCUUUAGAUACAGAUGAAUAAGAAUUUGAGUUACACAUUUUAUUAAACAGAGAAACGCAGUUGUUUUGUUCUCUGGUUUAGGAGCACAGAUGGAAUGUAAAAGAGGGCAGGUGAAGGAGGCUUGAACACGAAUUUGUAACAAUUAGUAGGCUGGAUUACAACUUGUAAGUAAGAGUCAUGUGAUAUAAAUAUAUCAUGGCCACGUGGCCCAUUUGGGCUAUAUAUUGGGUGUAAAAUAGCAACUAAAUGUCUGGAAAGCAACUACUUGCCUGUCUAUGAGACAUCUGGCUUUUUUCCUCAUCUUGAGAAUAACUUGCUGCUGCAGCCAACUGUUGUGUUUCUGGGAACUGUUUUAUUUUCCUGCAUAAAAUGUAAGUGUAAUGUGACACAAACCAAUUUUCUCUUUUAGAUUACUUAGUAGAAUUUUUUAGUUUAUUUAUUUAUUUAUUUUGGAUCUUUGCUGCAGCAACCUCUGCUUCUUUUGCUACCCUUUUUGGCUGCCCUUCCUACCAGCCUCCUGGCCAACUAGUUGGGUUGGUUUAAUCAUUAUAUUUGGUACAGAUUCCCUGCAUUUAAAAGACCCAAUGCCUUUUCUUAAUGGUGUUUUUAUUAACACAGACCAGGAAAAGAUCAUUGAAUCACAGAAUUGCUUAAGCUGGAAGGGACCUUUAAAGGUCAUAUAAUCCAGUCCCCCUGCAAUGAACAGGGACACCUACAGCUAGAUCAGGUUGCACAGAGUCCAGUCAGCCUGACCUUGAAUAUCUCCAGGGAUGGGGCAGCCAUCACCUCUCUGGGCAACCUGUUCGAGUGCCUCACCACCAUUACUGUAAAAAUCAUUUUUCUUAUGUCCAAUCUAAAUCUCCCAUCUUUUAGUUUGAAAUUAUUUCUCCUUGUUCCAUCACAACAGACCCUGCUAAAGAGUCUGUCCCCUUCUUUCUUACAGCCCCCCUUUAGAAAAUGAAAGGCUGCUCUCAGGUCUCCCUGGAGCCUUCUCUUCUCCAGGUUGAGAAGCCCCAGCUCUCUCAGCCUGUCCUCAUAGAAGAGGCAUUCCACUCUUUGGAUCAUUUUUGUGGCCUUCCUCUGGAUGUGCUCCAACAGGUCCAUAUCUCUCCUGUGCUGAGGACUCCACAUCUGAAUGCAAUAUUCCAGAUGAGGUCCCACCAGUGCAGAGUAGAGGAGCAGGAUCACAUCUCUUGACGUGCUGGCCAUGCUUCUUUUGAUCCAGCCCAGGAUGCGUUUGGUUUUCUGGGCUGUGAGAGUACAUUGCUGGCUCCUAUAGAACUUGCCAUCCACCAGUAUCCCUAAAUCCUUUUCAGCAGGGCUGUGCUAUCCUUACAUCCCCCAGCCAUCCCUAAAUCCUUUUCAGCAGGGCUGUGCUCUAUCCUUUCAUCCCCCAGCUUGUAUUGACAGUAGGGGUUGCCACAACCCAGACGCAAGACCUUACUCUUGGCUUUGUUGAACCUCAUGAGGUUCUCCUGCACCCACUGUUCAGGCCUGUCUAGGUCUCCCUGGGUGACAUCCCAUCCCUCAGGCAUGUCGACCACACAACACAGCUUGGUGUCUUCAAAGCUCAUAGUAAAAAGGUUGCUGUUUUAUGAGCCAAAAUACAGCCAUCUGAAUGGUUUGGAGCUGGGAGACUGCAGCUACUUCUCUGUGUAUUACACUGUCAGAGGUGUCUCCUGGUGCUCUCCACUAGCCUGCAGUCAUAAGGGUAAUUUUCUUUAGAUCCUUACUGAUUUCUCACCCUCCUGAGGAAUGCUGAAGCAUCUAGAAAAACAGUGUGAAGGCAUUCACUUUUUGGAAAUAGAUACGGUGGAACAGUGAGAUACAGCUCACAGGCUACAAUUCUUCUUUCUUUUUCUGAAAUUUCCUUUCUAGUAAUAGAUUAAUUGAAUCCACUUCUCUAUUUCUGAAAACUACUGAGCUAGAUUAAAAGUCAAGCCUUCCACUUAUAUUUUUUAAAUUUUCUGUUUCCCAUCUUCAAAUGUUUCAUGAAACUGCCACUGACAGACAAAGAAACUGAACCUAAAGAUCACUAUUUCCCACUUGUUUACCCAGGACUCGUUGGUAUACAAAUGUUAACUUUUCUGGAGUAAUGAAACGAUUAUAUAUAUCACUUGUGAAUUUUUGGGAGCUAGUUGACAUAUAAUCUGGCAUUCUAUUUGUGCAAAAAGCAGAUUAGGUAUUUUGUGAUAUGUCUUUUAGGACAAACUAUGGAAAGAGCAUUAUUACAUGUAAUUCUGGUAACAAAGAAUGGAACAUUUGGGCGUGAAAUGAGUAAUAAUACUAUUGACGGACAGAAAAAAAUGCAUCUGUAUGUGUGUAUUUAUAUCUAUAACAACACUUGCAAAAUUGAAAAUUCUUUUACUGUCCUCUCCUGAUGAUUCUUUUCAGCCCUGAGCCAAGGUCCUUAGCAUGGUCUUUUCCCCCUGCUAUUCACUGUUGGGUUGCAAGGUUUAAUUUAACUACAACAUGAAUAAGGAGACAUUGCACUUCAAAGCAGUAACUCUCAGCAGUUCUAAAAUACAGACCUCUGUAGAAUCAUAGUAAAUUCACUCCUAAAUUGUCACUUUUUUUUUUUUUUUCCACUAAUUAUAGCAACUGAAUUAACAGACUGAGGCAACAGAAUAUAUGGGGUUAUUCAACUACAUUAUAUACUUUAUGGGUUCCUUCAGAAGGAAAGAGAAGCUAUAGCUACAGUAGAAUAAACUUUCUCUUCUCAGAACAUUGAGUCCAUGGCAUUUUUAUUUGAAAACUCACUCUUUGAUUGUGGUGCAAUGGGAGGAGUUUUCACAGCAAUUAAAUUUAAUCAAAACAAUCAUCCAUUUUAGCUCAAUUUGUAUGUUCACGUAGUUUUAAAGAGAGUAUGCCUUCUUCUGUCCUUUAGAAGUACAUAAUCUGAUUUGGCAGGGCACAUUUGUGGUGUCUCUGUGGUAGAUUUUCUAUUAAACUUACAUAAAUGCUCCCAUUCUUGAGAAAAUAAGUCAGAUGAGUUGGUCUGAGACAUUCAUUAAAGCCUACUCCAAAACAUGUUUUAUAUGAAAAAUGGCUUUGCUACUGAGAAUGAUUGGUAUGUCAAGAAUUUCAUUUCAGGCAACAUUUUUGUUAUUAGAACAAGCUUCUGUUGUCUACACAGGGGUUUUGUUCAGAAAGAUAUAAUGCAAGAUAGGAAAAAAGCAUCCUUCCAGUGUUCUUAUCUACUAUGCAGUACUUCUAUUGUAAGCAUAGAUAAUAACAAUUCUAAUAUUUUUUUUCAUUUCCUUGGGUGCUGCUUCUUACAUCUUAUAAUGGUCCUCAUGAUUUUACUGCUCCUUCUCUGGAUGCUGGGAAAAUAAUCAGAGCUUGUUUUGUGGUGAGCAGUGUACUUGUUUAUUGAUACCUUAGACCUGGAAGCUUUAAAGGUGAUCUUUUAAAUCCCUUUUCAACUGUCUGUAUUUCCAUGUAAAAUAGGAAGACAAUCACAUUAAAAUGUUUUCCUUGUUUCAUACAUCA